CAGCUGGCCCCUGGACGCAAGACAAAAAGGCCCUUCUAGCUUCCAGGUUGUAUGCUUGUGUGAUGAGUCCAGCCUAAGUCCCCUCCUCCCCCAGCUAACCCUUCAGCGUGUCCCCUCUUGUCUUAACCCCAACCCAUGCAGCUGAGCUGUCCCUGCAGAGGGUGAGGGCUGUGCUGCUCCAUGGACGGACAUGGGGCUUCCUCCUGGGUCUGGCUCCUGCAUAGCUCAUCCCACCUCAUCAUGAGCCUCAACUGCCUACGUCUUGGCCAAGCAGCACACUGGCUACAGAAGGGACAGCCACCUCUGUCUAUCUGGGACAGGUCCCCUGCAGGCCUCCUCCAUCUUCAGCCUCUGUCCCCUGGCCUGGCCCCUCUGUUCUUCUGUGGCUCACAGAGAGCAAGGCAAGGCAACCAGGGGAAGAGGAUGAAAGGCCCCAGCAUGUCCCAGUGGUGAGGCAGCGUCCGGCCGCCAUCGCUUAGAAGGAUGCCCCUGAGGAAGCUGGCCCUGGGAGCAGCCUGGCGGUGCCAGCCAAAGCCCCUCGUGGAGAGUCAGCAGGCUUGGGCAGCUGUUUCCACACCAAGGUGGUGGCUUCUCUGCAAACCAGCCCAGGGGAGGACUCCAGGGUGGACGGCCUUCAAGGUCCAUCCCAUGCUGACGCAGAAGCUCUCAGAACACUCAGGAAACCUCUCCGGACAGAGCCCUCUUUGUCAACCCGAGACCCUCCCAAGGCCUCUACUGCCCUCUGGGUCUAGCAGAGGGGGUGGAAGAGGGGCCACUCCCUCCCACCUAGAGCUUCUCCGAAUGACAAUCAGCUCGUGCCAGGAAGGAUCCAGGGCAGAGGAAACCAUGCCUCCCAGUGUCCCCACCCCCAGCGCCAGCCUCUUCCCCCUUGAGCACCCAUCCCCUCCACCAAGCCCUCCUGGUCCUGAGCCCUUUCUCUAUAAAAGAGUGUCACACCACCCCUAGCACCACCCCACCCCUCUAGCACUUCCCCAUCGUGACAAACCUGUGUCAUUGGCUCAGACACAGGUCUGCUCACCCCAGAACAUGCCUCCCCUCCCCAAGCCACACUGGCACGAAGCGGGUGCAGGAGAAGGGCCAUGUCCCGUUCACGUGGGCACCCCCCUUCUGGGCUCCUCACAGGGGCCUGGCUCAGUCUUCUCAGCUCCGGGGAUCAGCCCUGGUGGGCAUGGAGUGGGGGGCAGGGAGGUGCCCUCCCCCUCCCCCAGGGAAGCCACUGAAGAAUGUUUACACGCCAAACAGAAUGUAACACCCUCCCCCACCUCUUCCCAGUCACUGCAUGGCCUCUGCCCACCCUGCACCUGUCCACCCCCACCCCAACACCCUGGAAGCCGCUGUCAUGAUUAGAUCGGGUCUCGGAAGGGAAGUAGCCAUCACACCAUUAAAAAGCCUGUGGACCUUUC